UACGUAGGGUGCGAGCGUUAAUCGGAAUUACUGGGCGUAAAGUGUGCGCAGGCGGCAGAGCAAGUCGAGUGUGAAAGCCCCGGGCUUAACUUGGGAAUUGCGCUCGAAACUACUUUGCUGGAGUGUGGCAGAGGAAGGUGGAAUUCCACGUGUAGCGGUGAAAUGCGUAGAUAUCGGGAGGAACACCCGUAGCGAAGGCGGCCGACUGGACCACACCUGACGCUGAGGCGCGAAGGCCAGGGGAGCGAACGGG
rnacentral:rRNA from 1 species